CCAAUAGCGUAUAUUAAAGUUGUUGCAGUUAAAAAGCUCGUAGUUGAAUUUCGGGGUUCAUACGUUGGUCGGGCUUUUUGGUCUGUACUAGCGUAAUGGAUUCCUACCUUCUGAAUAACCGGCAUGCCAUUAAUUUGGUGCGCCGGGGAAGCAGGACUGUUACCUUGAAAAAAUUAGAGUGCUUAAAGCAGGCUAUCGCCUGAAUACAUUAGCAUGGAAUAAUGAAAUAGGACGGCAUGGUUCUAUUUUGUUGGUUUCUAGGAUCACCGUAAUGAUUAAUAGUGAUAGUUGGGGGCAUUAGUAUUCAAUUGUCAGAGGUGAAAUUCUUGGAUUUAUUGAAGACUAACUUCUGCGAAAGCAUUUGCCAAGGAUGUUUUCAUUAAUCAAGAACGAAAGUUAGGGGAUCGAAGACGAUCAGAUACCGUCGUAGUCUUAACCAUAAACUAUGCCGACUAGGGAUCGGACGAUGUUAAUUUUUUAAUGACUCGUUCGGCGCCUUACG
rnacentral:misc_RNA from 1 species